GUUGACCUCGGAUCAGGUAGGGAUACCCGCUGAACUUAAGCAUAUCAAUAAGCGGAGGAAAAGAAACCAACAGGGAUUGCCCUAGUAACGGCGAGUGAAGCGGCAACAGCUCAAAUUUGAAACCUGGCGCUUGCGUCCGGAUUGUAAUUUGUAGAGGAUGCUUCUGGGCAGCGGCCGGUCUAAGUUCCUUGGAACAGGACGUCACAGAGGGUGAGAAUCCCGUAUGUGAUCGGCGCGCACCCUCCACGUAGCUCCUUCGACGAGUCGAGUUGUUUGGGAAUGCAGCUCUAAAUGGGAGGUAAAUUUCUUCUAAAGCUAAAUAUUGGCCCGAGACCGAUAGCGCACAAGUAGAGUGAUCGAAAGAUGAAAAGCACUUUGGAAAGAGAGUUAAAAAGCACGUGAAAUUGUUGAAAGGGAAGCGCUUCCCACCAGACUCCGCGGCGGUGUUCCGCCGGUCUUCUGACCGGUCUACUCGCCGCCGUGGGGCCAGCAUCGUCUGGGGCCGCCGGAUAAGACCGCAGGAAUGUAGCUCAUUGAGUGUUAUAGCCUGCGGGGAUGCGGCGCGCCCCGGGCGAGGUCCGCGCUUCGGCAAGGAUGCUGGCGUAAUGGUGGGCAGCGGCCCGUCUUGAAACACGGACCAAGGAGUCUAACAUCUAUGCGAGUGUUCGGGUGUCAAACCCCUACGCGUAAUGAAAGUGAACGGAGGUGGGAGCUUCGGCGCACCAUCGACCGAUCCUGAUGUCCUCGGAUGGAUUUGAGUAAGAGCAUAGCUGUUGGGACCCGAAAGAUGGUGAACUAUGCCUGAAUAGGGUGAAGCCAGAGGAAACUCUGGUGGAGGCUCGCAGCGGUUCUGACGUGCAAAUCGAUCGUCAAAUUUGGGCAUAGGGGCGAAAGACUAAUCGAACCAU
rnacentral:rRNA from 2 species